GACGAACGCUGGCGGCGUGCUUAACACAUGCAAGUCGAACGGUAAGGCCCUUCGGGGUACACGAGUGGCGAACGGGUGAGUAACACGUGGGUGAUCUGCCCUGCACUUCGGGAUAAGCCUGGGAAACUGGGUCUAAUACCGGAUAGGACCACUGCCUGCAUGGGUGGUGGUGGAAAGCUUUUGCGGUGUGGGAUGGGCCCGCGGUCUAUUAGCUUGUUGGUGGGGUGAUGGCCUACCAAGGCGACGACGGGUAGCCGGCCUGAGAGGGUGACCGGCCACACUGGGACUGAGAUACGGCCCAGACUCCUACGGGAGGCAGCAGUGGGGAAUAUUGCACAAUGGGCGCAAGCCUGAUGCAGCGACGCCGCGUGAGGGAUGACGGCCUUCGGGUUGUAAACCUCUUUCAGCACCGACGAAGCGCAAGUGACGGUAGGUGCAGAAGAAGGACCGGCCAACUACGUGCCAGCAGCCGCGGUAA
rnacentral:rRNA from 1 species